GGGGUUGUAGCUCAGCGGUAGAGCACUCGCCUAGCAUGUGUGAGGCCCUGGGUUCGAUCCUCAGCACCACA
rnacentral:tRNA from 1 species